UACGAAGGGGGCUAGCGUUGUUCGGAAUUGCUGGGCGUAAAGCGCAUGCAGGCGGAUUGCUAAGUCGGGGGUGAAAGCCCGAGGCUCAACCUCGGAACUGCCUCCGAUACUGGCGAUCUCGAGUCCGGGAGAGGUGAGUGGAACUCCGAGUGUAGAGGUGAAAUUCGUAGAUAUUCGGAAGAACACCAGUGGCGAAGGCGGCUCACUGGCCCGGUACUGACGCUGAGAUGCGAAAGUGGGGGGAGCAAACAGG
rnacentral:misc_RNA from 1 species